UACGGAGGGAGCAAGCGUUACUCGGAAUUAUUGGGCGUAAAGGGCGCGUAGGCGAUUUGAAAAGUCUUGUGUGAAAGCCCCGGGCUUAACCCGGGAAGUGCACAAGAAACUGUUGAAUUUGAGUUCCGGAGAGGCAAGGGGAAUUCCACGUGUAGCGGUGAAAUGCGUAGAGAUGUGGAGGAACACCUGUGGCGAAGGCGCCUUGCUGGCCGAUUUCUGACGCUGAGGCGCGAAAGCGUGGGGAGCAAACAGG
rnacentral:rRNA from 1 species